rnacentral:rRNA from 1 species
CCCUUGCAACCCGCUCCCCACCUUCCCCCCGGCACUGCAAUCAUCCCAGGCCCCCUCCGUGCUCACUGUGGAUAUGUGGUUCUCGGUGGUGAGCUCCCUAUGGUGUGUGAUGAGUGGGCCGUCGCCACGCUCGUCCCCGAGGUCUCUACUGAGGAGUUUCAUGGCGCCAUCGCUUUGAUCACCAACUUCUUGGAGGGGCAUGGAUGGCGCAUGAACUACACUUCUCGUUGUGGUAUGGGCACUGCUUUGAUUCAGUUUACUACUGCUUGCUCCUGAGAUACUGCUAUCAGUCAUAGCUCGUUUUAGAGUGGAGACUCUGUUCUUAGAAUUAGCAGACAGGACAGAGGCAUUAAUUACCGCAGCAUUACUUUCACGCAUGAUAUUCGGAUCCUGCACAUGAACUAUCCUCUUGAGUGUUUGGAUGUGGGUGUUAUCUGUCGCACUGUAUCUCCCUAUGACUGUUUUCUGAUUUGGAACAAAGAUCCGAGGGACAAAUCGAGGGUUAUUGUCAAGCUCAGGGUCAUGAAUGGUGACACCAUACCUAUUAGCAUUGUUGUACUGAUAAACCUCGAUGAUGUUGGUUAUGGCGACUCUUGGACCUGCCCCACUUACAUUCUGUCUAGAGAGUUGAUUGGUCAGCAAGGUGGUGAUGAGGAUCCACUAACCCCCAAUGGUGGAAAUCCUCACCCUCUUCCUCAUGUUCAUGUAGGUUUUUGGCAUGAUGAGGUUUUAGGGAAUAUUCCUAUGGAUCAAGUAGUUAUCAAUCCUCACAAUGAGAAUCUUGGUGCACCUUAUGAAGAUGUUCAUGCGGCCCACAAUGAUCAUGUGAAUCAUGUUGCUGGUCAGACUGUCUCUGUUGCUGAUGUUGAUGAAGUACAGACUGUUGAUCCUAAUGCUACUGAACAUGUGGUUGCUCCUGACAUGGAGGAAGUGCAGGCUCCCAUUCAGAUACAUGUCAACACACACUAUGUUGCCCCACAUGAGACUCUUGGACCUAAUUAUAUCGGAAUUGAUCCUAUGUCUUCCCAACACAACUCCUAG